rnacentral:rRNA from 1 species
CAUUAUUGAAAAAAAACCAAUCCAAGGAAAGGUUGUUGCUGGUCGAAAGACAUCUGUGCACACCUUUUUCUAUCCUUUUUUCAAAAACCUGUGAACCUCUUUGUAAGCCAAGAGAUUGGCUUAUGUUUUAACUUUUUACAUAACCCUUUUGCAUGUGCAUGAACGUUUAUUUGUAAUAAAAAAACACAACUUUCAACAACGGAUCUCUUGGCUCUCGCAUCGAUGAAGAACGCAGCGAAAUGCGAUAAGUAAUGUGAAUUGCAGAAUUCAGUGAAUCAUUGAAUCUUUGAACGCACCUUGCGCUCCUUGGUAUUCCGAGGAGCAUGCCUGUUUGAGUGUCACGAAUACUCUCAACCUCACGAUUUGAUUGUCGUCGAGGAUUGGAAUGUGGAGGUUCAGCUGGACUUUUUAAAGUGUCAGCUCCUCCGAAAUGCAUCAGCGAACCCUCUUUGACCUCUUUUUUUCUUGCUGGCUUUGGUUUGAUAAUGUCUAUGUCAUCGCCAUCUGUUAAUGAGAAAGGGGUUGAUCGUGUUGUUUGCUUACAAUCGUCCUCUUGAAAAAGGGACAAGCAAUUUGAUUGCUUACUUUGACAGUUUGACCUCAAAUCAGGUAGGACUACCC